UCGGGAAUUUUGGGCAAUGGGCGCAAGCCUGAUCCAGCCAUGCCGCGUGCGGGAAGAAGGCCUUCGGGUUGUAAACCGCUUUUGUCAGGGAAGAAACGCUCUGGGCUAAUACCCUGGGGUAAUGACGGUACCUGAAGAAUAAGCACCGGCUAACUACGUGCCAGCAGCCGCGGUAAUACGUAGGGUGCAAGCGUUAAUCGGAAUUACUGGGCGUAAAGCGUGCGCAGGCGGUUAUGCAAGACAGAUGUGAAAUCCCCGGGCUCAACCUGGGAACUGCAUUUGUGACUGUAUAGCUAGAGUACGGUAGAGGGGGAUGGAAUUCCGCGUGUAGCAGUGAAAUGCGUAGAUAUGCGGAGGAACACCGAUGGCGAAGGCAAUCCCCUGGACCUGUACUGACGCUCAUGCACGAAAGCGUGGGGAGCAAACAGGAUUAGAUACCCAAGUAGUCCCUGAGCGGGCUGGCAAGGCGCAU
rnacentral:rRNA from 1 species